GAGUCCGCAUGUUCACAUGAUUAAAGGUAUUCCGGUAGACGAUGGGGAUGCGUUCCAUUAGAUAGUAGGCGGGGUAACGGCCCACCUAGUCUUCGAUGGAUAGGGGUUCUGAGAGGAAGGUCCCCCACAUUGGAACUGAGACACGGUCCAAACUCCUACGGGAGGCAGCAGUGAGGAAUAUUGGUCAAUGGGCGAGAGCCUGAACCAGCCAAGUAGCGUGAAGGAUGACUGCCCUAUGGGUUGUAAACUUCUUUUAUAAAGGAAUAAAGUCGGGUAUGGAUACCCGUUUGCAUGUACUUUAUGAAUAAGGAUCGGCUAACUCCGUGCCAGCAGCCGCGGUAAUACGGAGGAUCCGAGCGUUAUCCGGAUUUAUUGGGUUUAAAGGGAGCGUAGAUGGAUGUUUAAGUCAGUUGUGAAAGUUUGCGGCUCAACCGUAAAAUUGCAGUUGAUACUGGAUAUCUUGAGUGCAGUUGAGGCAGGCGGAAUUCGUGGUGUAGCGGUGAAAUGCUUAGAUAUCACGAAGAACUCCGAUUGCGAAGGCAGCCUGCUAAGCUGCAACUGACAUUGAGGCUCGAAAGUGUGGGUAUCAAACAGGAUUAGAUACCCUGGUAGUCCACACGGUAAACGAUGAAUACUCGCUGUUUGCGAUAUACUGCAAGCGGCCAAGCGAAAGCGUUAAGUAUUCCACCUGGGGAGUA
rnacentral:rRNA from 1 species